rnacentral:tRNA from 1 species
GCACCCGUGGCGGAAUUGGCAGACGCGCAUGGUUCAGGUCCAUGUGCUCGCAAGGGCAUGGGAGUUCAAGUCUCCCCGGGUGCACCA